rnacentral:rRNA from 1 species
CUUAAAUUGAAGAGUUUGAUCAUGGCUCAGAUUGAACGCUGGCGGCAGGCCUAACACAUGCAAGUCGAGCGGAAACGAGUUAUCAGAACCUUCGGGGGACGAUAACGGCGUCGAGCGGCGGACGGGUGAGUAAUGCCUAGGAAAUUG